AUGAAAAAUAGUAAUAAUUUCCGUGAACAUUAAAAAAAAUGAGUUCUUCGUGCUUCUUAAAAUAUCACGAUAAGGUCGCGAUAAAAUAAUAACCCUGUAUACAAUAUAGAUAGUACCUAAUCACACUCAUAUUUAGCUAAGGAGGUACUAUUCAGAUGAGUAUUAAUUUAUAUAUAUAUAUUACUAGUGAUACGGCACGGCGCAUAUAUGAAGACGUAUAUUAUGACAUAGGAUUUACGCGUCAAAUAAAUAGCGAUAAUUGUUUAAGCACAUUUCGUAUGUACAUAACAAGAGUUAUUAAAAACAAACACUUCUACUUAUAUUCGGUGAAAUCGUAGUAACACUAUUACACUAAUACGCUAUAUUAUAGAAGCUGCGGACUCUUGUAUUAAUUAAUUUACUUAAGUUUUAAAUGCGCCAAGCUCAGUUACAUCAAUUGUGGAUAUAGUAAUAACAACUAAUACAAAUAAUAUAAAAUACUUGUAGCUAUAUGAAUUAAUAAGUCUAAUAUUCUAGUACAGUGAAAUCUCCACAAAUGGACAAAAGACAUCUUUCAAAUAGCGGACGUCUUUUUGGGAACAUCUAGUCCAUCACGCGCUAAUAGCUCAAUCGCGUGGAAAAUACAUCAAGUCAACAAUAAAAACGUAAAUCACGAUGAUGCAAUAUUAUACUGUUAUCACAGUAUAUGAUAACGAACUCAGCUUGGGUGAGUAAGCGUCAGACCACGCUGGACCACGGCAAAUCACAGGUUUCAAGUGGGAUUUUGUGGGGCCCAUAACACUUCAAAAUAAUAUUGCUAUUAAUGUUCGCAAUACGGUCAAUCCUACAACUGUUAUUAUUCUCUUCUCCUCGUAUAAUAUAGGUAUGUACAUUAUACAUGAUUAGUAAUCACUGCGAUUUAAUCGUAGAACAAUUACGUUUUAAAAAGCUAUAAAUAUUGUUCUCGUUUAAUAAAUAUAUAUAAUAAUAAUAAUAACGAUUAUAUUGUAUAAUAUCGCGUGCAAUCGUAGUGGUGUACUAAAAUAUGUUUUCAUCAACGAAACCUAAAUAAUAAUAAUAAAAUAUACGUGUACGACGUUCGUUUACCUUGUACCUGUAUGUAAAUAUAAUAAUGUAAUAUAAUAAUAAUUAUAACUACGCAUGCAUAUUGUAGGUAAAAGAAAAAACGAGUCAGCCGUUCAUGAUGGUGAUGUGCCGGAUUUACCUAAUUGCUACAAUACACAUGUAAGAUAAAGCUCAAGAUAUACUUGGGUAGAGGUCGUAUAUAGGUGAGUAGGUAGAUACCUAAACGGCGGAGGCGGUCAGUAGAAUUGUAUAUAAUUGGAUUUUCGC